rnacentral:rRNA from 1 species
AUACGGAGGUUGCGAGCGUUACUCGGAGUCACUGGGCGUAAAGCGUCCGUAGGCGGUCGGGUAAGUCGGGUGUGAAAGCCCCGGGCUCAACCUGGGAAGUGCACCCGAUACUGCUCGACUCGAGUGCGGGAGAGGAUGGCGGAAUUCCCGGUGUAGCGGUGAAAUGCGUAGAGAUCGGGAGGAACACCAGUGGCGAAGGCGGCCAUCUGGCCCGCAACUGACGCUGAGGGACGAAAGCGUGGGGAGCAAACAGGAUUAGAAACCCGUGUAGUCC